UUUCACAUUUAACAAAUUGAAACUUCAAGUUAGCAUCAUUAAUUAUGGCUUCCAUUAUGGCAUACAUAUGACUGAAUACGGUCAUUACUUCUUCUAUAGGAACAGAAAGGCCUCCUCUUUCAGUAGAAUGGGACCUAUAACCAGAUAUGUAAAUUUUAAUGGGAUAAUCAACAACACAAGUGGAUAAAUAUUGUUUCAAAAAUUCUCAGAAAACAAGUUACAUCAAUGGAAAGAUCACGAAGAUUAUUAUCGUUAUCACAAAUUUCAAAUCUAUUUUUGAUUUAAGUAAAAGAAAAGAAUCUUGCCGAUUUCUUAAAUAUGUUUUAAUCUAAUAUUUUUCUCUGCAUUUUAACUACUUCAUUGUAUGAAACAUGAUAAUUACAACCAAAUAAAAGUUUAUAGUUUCCAAA